AAGUUGUCCAAGGGAAUUUCCUUCUAACCAGUGAAAAUCCCACUGAUUUGCCCUCCAAGAGCAUUGAUUAAUAGGAUUUCUAAAAUAAUUCAACACACAGGGCUCUUGAACUUUCUUCGCCCCCUUGAAACUAUUUAUUUAUUUUAAACAUUUAUAUACUGCCCGUUGUCAAAAGAUCACAAGGCCGUUUACGACGUAGAACAUAAUAAACAAUAUAUGUCAUUACACAACAUACUAACCAUACAAUGCAAAAAAAUAAUAAUUAAACAGUUGUAUAAAUACAAUACAUACUAAUACAAAAUAGUUCAUAAUACAUACUUGUACAUUAUGCAUAAUAAACGUAAUGAAAAUAUAAUAAACAGCAAUGUCUAAUUAUAUCCAAUAUCAUCCCAGCAAUAUCCCCUGUAAAAUAGUGUCUCAUAACUUAAGUGGUUACCUGCUUAUCUCAGGUGAAAGAUAAAACAUGAUAUACAUCUAGGGCCAGAUUCAACUAAACAGCUGUGCUAGCAGGAGCCAGUGCUAGAAUUUCUGCUAGUGCAAUGGGACUUUUCCCUCUCCCCUACCCCCCCCCCGUGCAUCCCCUCUACUCGCCCCCCCCCACUCCACCUCAGUUUGGCUCAGGGAGUCAGGAGAACCCCUAGAACAGCACACAGGGGGAAGAGAAGGGAGACGCUUCCAUCUGACAAGCUGAAAUGGCUAUGCUGACGGAAGCAGGCUGUCAUUCUGCAACGAUGAAUUCUACCCCUUUUAACAUUAGCAUGCUAAAAAAAUAAAUAAAAGGAGGGGGGAAUCAGCUGCAGGAUAUCUAAAGUUUAGAAACAGUGGGCAAGUGCCUCUACUUCUCUCUGUACAAAACUAGUUCUUAAUCCCCACCUCUGCAGAAAAUAGCAAACUCUUUCAGCUCCCAGCUGGGAGCUUUCCUGUCCUCUCCAAGUCUCUCACCCUGAGACUCCACUUCCCUACCUCUCUCACUCAUGGUCCUUCCACCAUCUAUCUACAGUGAUGCAGUGACUAACCCCAUCUCUUCCACCAACUAUCUUGGACUUGUUGUUGUUUAAUCGUUUAGUCGUGUCCGACUCUUCAUGACCCCAUGGACCAGAGCACGCCAGGCACUCCUGUCUUCCACUGCCUCCCGCAGCUUGGUCAAACUCAUGCUGGUAGCUUCAAGAACACUGUCCAACCAUCUCAUUCUCUGCCAUCCCUUCUCCUUGUGCCCUCCAUCUUUCCCAACAUCAGGGUCUUUUCCAGGGAGUCUUCUCUUCUCAUGAGGUGGCCAAAGUAUUGGAGCCUCAGCUUCACAAUCUGUCCUUCCAGUGAGCACUCAGGGCUGAUUUCCUUCAGAAUGGAUAGGUUUGAUCUUCUUGCAGUCCAUGGGACUCUCAAGAGUCUCCUCCAGCACUAUAAUUCAAAAGCAUCAAUUCUUCGGCGAUCAGCCUUCUUUAUGGUCCAGCUCUCACUUCCAUACAUCACUACUGGGAAAACCAUAGCUUUAACUGUACGGACCUUAGUCAGCAAGGUGAUGUCUCUGCUUUUUAAGAUGCUGUCUAGGUUUGUCAUUGCUUUUCUCCCAAGAAGCAGGCGUCUUUUAAUUUCGUGACUGCUGUCACCAUCUGCAGUGAUCAUGGAGCCCAAGAAAGUAAAAUCUCUCACUGCCUCCAUUUUUCCCACUUCUAUUUGCCAGGAGGUGAUGGGACCAGUGGCCAUGAUCUUAGUUUUUUUGAUGUCAUAGAAUUGGUCAAUUUCAGUUUCUUUAGCACCGGUAAUUGGUGCAUAAACUUGGAUUACUGUGAUGUUAAAAGGUCUGAUCUUAGACUACGUAUCCUAAAAUAUUCACAAGUCCCCUUGUUUCACUGGUUCAAGACAGAAGAGAAUGAUGGAGAAGAGUUUGAAAUACCUUAUACAGUCGUACCUUGGAAGUCAAACGGAAUCCGUUCCAGAAGUCCGUUCGACUUCCAAAACGUUCGAAACCCAAAUUGCGGCUUCUGAUUGGCUGCAGGAAACUUCUGCAACCAAUCGGAGACCGUGGAAGCCCCGUCAGACCUUCGGGUUCCAAAGAAUGUUCGCAAACCAACUCUCACUUCUGGGUUUGCUGCGUUCGAGAGCCAAAACAUCUGAGUACCAAGGCAUUUGGGAUCCAAGGUACGACUGUAUUGUGACACUCACUCCACUUCUCUGGUCAGACUUCCAGGCAUACAGUAUGUGGGGCUGGGGCUUGCCAGGCCUCCCCAUGGUGGCGGUGGGCUUCCGCAUGGCAGCAGUGAGCCUUGUGGGGCCUCAUGGCCUCCUCCUGACGCAUGUGCACAACGAGCCCCUCCCCAUAUGUCAGGUGCAACUCGGCGCCUCUACCUGCUAUUAAAUUUGGGGGGAAACUGAGAUAGUUGCUGGGGGUACAUUUAGCAUCACACACAGUUUGUACCAGAGUUUUCUCUUUCUUGGUUUCAAACACUGCAGUCUAUUGUUCUCCUGGUACACAGACACCUAGAUUACAUCAUCCAUAAAGUGGGGAUGUCUAAUAUGCUUUCAGGCAUUUCAGAAGUCUUAAGGAAAAUGGCCUUAUAAUUAGUUCCCAUGGAAACACAUUCCUGGGCUAUUAACUCUCUUUUGUCAAGUUCAAGGCUCUGGCCAAGUAUUGCCUCAGGGCAGCCCAUACUGAUAACUCUACCCACAGAAAACAGUAUUUUAAAACAGGCAGGCAGAGCAGGUAAGAGGCAAGUAGCUAUUUAUGUUGUUAGCUGUUAUGAACAUAAUAAGCAGAAGGUGGAUGCACACAUACGAAAUAAAGCCAGCCAGGCGCUACUAGUCCCCAAGCAAGUUCAGCCUCCAAAAUCAGGAUCAGUACCUCUAGCAAAGCAGCUCCUAAAAUUUAGAAUUAUAGUGUUCUCUUGCAAGACAAAUUAUUUUCAUUUCUGUCUUGGUUGUGGUCAGUGCUUCUCUGCAAGAAGGGCAUUGCAAGAAAUCUGUUCUGAGAGGGGCAGUAGUUACACCUUUACUGAAGAAGCCUUCUCUCAACUUGGUGAUUUUGGAAAUUACGGACCAGUUUCAAAUCCAACAGUUUUGGCUAAAAUGGCUGAGCGAGCAAUGAAUCAGUCUCUUUAUGACUUAGGGUUGAUUUAGGGCUCAUCCGCUUGACUCACCACUUUCCCCAGGGGCGAACACACUUUUUACCUCUGGACCAGAUCAAAGUCAAGUGGGUUUUCUGUGGAAUGAUGUUUAUUGUGAUUUAGACCUGAGUAACAGGUUGGAAAGGCAAAACCUCCUGGACCUGGGCUUUUCCUUCUCCAGGUGACCUAUUGUGAUUUGACAUGUACCUUCUUUCAGCUGAUAUUAUCCUGUAAUAUAGGGGUAGCCAGAAUGGUACCCUCCAGAUGCUACUGAAUUACAACACUUCUAAUCCCUGUCUAUUGGCCAUGCUGGUGGGGUUGGGAGUCCAGCAACAUCUGAAGGGCACCGUAAUGGCUGCCCCUGCAUACACCAAUAUCCUGCCUUUCUUUCAUCACGGAACUUGAGGUUAGCAUUCAUGGGAUUCUCAGGCAAACUCUCAUCAAAGCGCAGACCAAAUCCAGACCUGCUCAGCUUCAGCAACAUGACUGCUUGUAUCAUGUGCCCUGAUAUUCUGCCUGCAUCCCUUUCUGGAAAACAACAAUCCUGCCUGGCUUGCAUAUCCCAGUGUCUUCUCAACCUGAUUACUAUAAUAAAUCACCCCUUGGGCUGCCCUUGAAGACAGUUAAAAAACUUUACUGUUAUGAACUUUACCAGUUCAUAACAUAGAGCAAAGCUUUCAUCAAGUGCUAACCAAGGGACUAAGAUCUAAUAAUAAAAAAUAAAGAAAUGUUAUUACUGCUAAAGGUGACUUUGCAGGGCUUAAUAUAAUUUUAAAUAUGUUUGAUGUCUUUAGAAGGCUGCCUUCAUGAAAACUAUUCCAUAUUAAAAGGCCACAUUUUGUUUUCUGCAUAUUCACCGGUUCUGUUCCCACAAUAGUCCAAGUUGGGGAAUUCUCCAGAGGCAACCAGUAUGGUAUGAGGGACUGCAGUCUGCAGCGAAAUAUUUCAAAAGCCCUGAAGCAUCUAUGUGUGUGCAUGCAAGGAUCUCUAGAUUCCAACCCUUAUUAUUACUGUAUUGUGAACCAGAAUAAUUGCUAUAAUUAAACAGGUAUUACAAGCUCAG
rnacentral:lncRNA from 1 species